GAUGAACGCUGGCGGCGUGCCUAAUACAUGCAAGUCGAGCGAAGCGGGGACGGGUGAGUACUACGUGGAUAACCUCCUAUAAGACUGGGAUAACUUCGGGAAACCGGAGCUCAACCGGAUACUUAGAGAUGGUUCCGCGCGGCAUUAGCUAGUUGGUAAGGUAACGGCUUACCAAGGCGCCGAUGCGUAGCCGACCUGUGAGGGUGAUCGGCCACACUGGAACUGAGACACGGUCCAGACUCCUACGGGAGGCAGCAGUAGGGAAUCUUCCGCAAUGGGCGAAAGCCUGACGGAGCAAUGCCGCGUGAGUGAAGAAGGUCUUCGGAUCGUAAAACUCUGUUAUUAGGGAAGCGGUACCUAAUCAGAAAGCCACGGCUAACUACGUGCCAGCAGCCGCGGUAAUAC
rnacentral:rRNA from 1 species